AUUUUCACAUUUGUAUGCUUUCUUAAAAAUUGAAAUACCCAAUGUCAUUUUAUCGACGGAAUCCAUAAUUUAAGUGUCAUUUUCCAGCGUUAUUCCUUUUCAAGAUGCAUGCAGUAACGCAGAAUUGUCGCUUCUGUGGUGCGCAAAAUUAGUACGCGCAAAUUUAAAUACAAGUAAGGUAUUUAAGACUGCUUUAAUACAAGAAAAGUAGUUGAUCACCGACUUCGGUAGUCAUGCUCGCAGAACGAAUGUACAGUAAAUUAGUUAACCAUUCAAUUUUGGAACUUUCUCCGCAAACUAUGGUCAACUCCGAGAGGGAAACGAACGUUAUUGCUUAUUAAUUUAGUAGAAUUCACUGCAAAACUAGAAUUUUAAUGAACACUGCGUUGAGAACAUCUAUAUAUUGCAAUUGUAUUACAAGCAUUAUCUAACUAAUGUGUAAAAUUAAGGUAAAAUAAAUCACUAUCAAAAUCAGUGGAUUGAAAAGGCAUUUUAAGGUCGUAUAUAUAUACAACUGGGCCCGGUUGUUCAAAACUGGAUUAGCGCUAAUCCUGGGUUAAAAUUUAACCUACUGUUUUAGUUUAUGUAUUUCUGCACAUC